GAGGAAUAUUGGUCAAUGGCCGGGAGGCUGAACCAGCCAAGUCGCGUGAAGGAUGAAGGUCCUAUGGAUUGUAAACUUCUUUUGUGCGGGAAUAAAGUCGGGGACGUGUCCCCGUUUGCAUGUACCGUACGAAUAAGCAUCGGCUAACUCCGUGCCAGCAGCCGCGGUAAUACGGAGGAUGCGAGCGUUAUCCGGAUUUAUUGGGUUUAAAGGGUGCGUAGGUCGCCGAUUAAGUCAGCGGUGAAAUCCAGUGGCUCAACCAUUGGACUGCCGUUGAAACUGGCCGGCUUGAGUAUGAUUGAGGCAGGCGGAAUGCGUGGUGUAGCGGUGAAAUGCAUAGAUAUCACGCAGAACCCCGAUUGCGAAGGCAGCUUGCCAAGCCAUGACUGGCACUGAAGCACGAAAGCGUGGGUAUCAAAC
rnacentral:rRNA from 1 species